AACAUUUCAAGUUUCUCGAAGCAUCUUCUUUCCUCUCCUCCUUUCUCUCUCUCUGGCGAAGAAGACGAGGACAUCAUAAUCGAAGCGAUUCCGAUCGAUUCGGUGGUUUAAUCCGGUCGAUUCCAGCAGAAUCGAAGCUUUUUCGAAGAAUCUGGUGGUUUAAUCCGUGGCCGUAUCGCCGCCAGGGAGAACAGUUGAGUCUCCGCCGGUUGGUAACCGAAAAAAAGUUGGGAUUUGUCUCGUUAGCCCAUGUAGAAAGAUUUUAACGGCUCUAAUAAGAUUCAUGUUCCAUAUACAUGGUAGAUGCCUCAGGGUGGUGCUGAAAAGGGAGAAGAUUUGAGAAACGCUGCCUUUAGAGAACUAAGAGACGAGUGGCUUUGCUACAAUUAAGAAAGGCUUUGCUGCUUGUUAAGAGGUGGAAGUGGAUGAUUGUGGCUGUAGUUUACAAGCAUCAGAAGUUGUGGUCACAAGCCUCGGAUCCGAAAUCGUCAUACU